rnacentral:rRNA from 1 species
AAGGAUCAUUAUUGAAGUAAACUUGAUGAGUUGUUGCUGGUUCUCUAGGGAGCAAGUGCACACUUGUCAGUUUUAUAUCUUCACCUGUGCACAUUUUGUAGACUUUGGAUAUCUCUCUCUGAUUGCUUUCUUUUAGCACUUAGGAUUAAGGAUUGACUUUUGUCUCUUCUUACAUUUCCAGGUCUAUGUUUCUUCAGAUACCCUAAUGUAUGUUUAAAGAAUGUAAUUAAUAGGCCUUUGUGCCUAUAAGUCUUUACAACUUUCAGCAACGGAUCUCUUGGCUCUCGCAUCGAUGAAGAACGCAGCGAAAUGCGAUAAGUAAUGUGAAUUGCAGAAUUCAGUGAAUCAUCGAAUCUUUGAACGCACCUUGCGCUCCUUGGUAUUCCGAGGAGCAUGCCUGUUUGAGUGUCAUUAAUAUAUCAACCUCUUUGGUUGGAUGUGGGUUUGCUGGUCUUUUGAGAUCGGCUUCCCUUAAAUGUAUUAGCAGACAAUGUUUUUGCGAAACGCUCAUUGGUGUGAUAAUUAUCUACGCUAUUGACGUCAAGCAAGUUCUGCUUCUAACUGUCUAUUGAUUUGGACAAAUUUAUUAAUGUGACCUCAAAUCAGGUAGGACUACCCGCUGAACUUAAGCAUAUCAAUAAGCGGAGGAAAAGAAACUAACAAGGAUUCCCCUAGUAACUGCGAGUGAAGCGGGAAAAGCUCAAAUUUAAAA